ensembl:miRNA pma-mir-17a pma-mir-17a
CCUGGCCUUGCCAAAGUGCUGACAUUGCAGGUAGUGACGACUUAUCUUUCUACUGCAGUGCAAGCACUUGUAGCUGGGCCGU